rnacentral:rRNA from 1 species
UAAGUGCACGCCUUUAUACGGUGAAACCGCGAAUGGCUCAUUAAAUCAGCUAUGGUUUACUGGAUCGUACCCGUUAAAUGGAUAACUGUAAUAACUCUAGAGCUAAUACAUGCCACGAAGCCCUGACCCGCAAGGGAAUGGGUGCACUUAUUAGAUCAGAAGCCAACCAGGUGCCGGUCGCAAGACUGGUGCCUGCUGUCGUUCUGGUGACUCUGGAUAAUUGUUACAGAUCGCAGUCGGCCUUGAGUCGGCGACGGGUCCUUCAAAUGUCUGCCCUAUCAACUUUCGAUGGUAGGUGAUCUGCCUACCAUGGUGAUAACGGGUAACGGGGAAUCAGGGUUCGAUUCCGGAGAGGGAGCCUGAGAAACGGCUACCACUUCCAAGGGAGGCAGCAGGCGCGCAAAUUACCCACUCCCAGUACGGGAGGUG